rnacentral:rRNA from 1 species
UACGGAGGGUGCAAGCGUUAUCCGGAUUCACUGGGUUUAAAGGGUGCGUAGGAGGGCAGGGAAGUCAGUGGUGAAAUCCCCGGGCUCAACCUGGGAAUGGCGAUGGAUACUGGGCAGCUAGAGUGUGUCAGAGGAUGGUGGAAUUCCCGGUGUAGCGGUGAAAUGCGUAGAUAUCUGGAGGAACACCGGUGGCGAAGGCGACGUCCUGGACCGGCAUUGACGCUGAGGCGCGAAAGCCAGGGGAGCAAACGGG